rnacentral:rRNA from 1 species
UACGAAGGGGGCUAGCGUUGUUCGGAUUUACUGGGCGUAAAGGGCGCGCAGGCGGCUCAUUUUGUCAGGCGUGAAAGCCCCGGGCUUAACCUGGGAACUGCGUUUGAUACGGAUGGGCUAGAGUUCGGGAGAGGAGAGUGGAAUUCCUGGUGUAGCGGUGAAAUGCGCAGAUAUCAGGAAGAACACCCGUGGCUAAGGCGGCUCUCUAGUACGGUACUGACGCUGAGACGCGAAAGCGUGGGGAGCGAACAGG